rnacentral:rRNA from 1 species
GCCUACGGGGGGCAGCAGUGGGGAAUAUUGCACAAUGGGGGAAACCCUGAUGCAGCGACGCCGCGUGGGUGAAGAAGUAUUCCGGUAUGUAAAGCCCUAUCAGCAGGGAAGAAGUAUGACGGUACCUGACUAAGGAGCACCGGCUAAAUACGUGCCAGCAGCCGCGGUAAUACGUAUGGUGCAAGCGUUAUCCGGAUUUACUGGGUGUAAAGGGAGCGCAGGCGGCACGCUAAGCCUGUUGUGAAAACCCGCGGCCCAACCGCGGGCGUGCAUUGG